UUAAUGGCGAACGGGUGAGUAAUAUAUCGGAACGUACCUUGNAAUGGGGGAUAACUAGUCGAAAGAUUAGCUAAUACCGCAUACGCCCUGAGGGGGAAAGUAGGGGAUCUUCGGACCUUACGUUAUAAGAGCGGCCGANAUCUGAUUAGCUAGUUGGNGGGGUAAUGGCCUACCAAGGNGACGAUCAGUAGCUGGUCUGAGAGGACGACCAGCCACACUGGAACUGAGACACGGUCCANACUCCUACGGGAGGCAGCAGUGGGGAAUUUUGGACAAUGGGCGCAAGCCUGAUCCAGCCAUUCCGCGUGAGUGAAGAAGGCCUUCGGGUUGUAAAGCUCUUUCGCAAGGGAAGAAAACUUACACAAUAACACUGUGUGAGGCUGACGGUACCUUGAUAAGAAGCACCGGCUAACUACGUGCCAGCAGCCGCGGUAAUACGUAGGGUGCGAGCGUUAAUCGGAAUUACUGGGCGUANAGCGUGCGCAGGCGGUUUUGUAAGUCAGAUGUGAAANCCCCGAGCUCAACUUGGGAACUGCGUUUGAAACUACAAGACUAGAAUAUGUCAGAGGGGGGUAGAAUUCCACGUGUAGCAGUGAAAUGCGUAGAGAUGUGGAGGAAUACCANUGGCGAAAGCAGCCCCCUGGGAUAAUAUUGACGCUCAUGCACGAAAGCGUGGGGAGCAAACAGGAUUAGAUA
rnacentral:rRNA from 1 species